CAGAGACUCUCUCUCCGGUGGGGAAGACAGCGAAGUGGUCCUCCCUCAGCCCUGUGCACACGUGGGACCACUGUCCUACUGGCUGUCUCCUCAGGACUUCUGUUCAGCACACUCUGAAGCGUGGCCCAGCCUCCUUCACCCCCUCUGCAGAGGAAGGAUGGCUGGGUGCUCUUAGAAGAACCAACCACAUCUGCCUUGGAGCAACAGUGAAGAGGGGUUGCAUCUCUGCUUGCUACCUCGGUUUCUCUGUGUCCAACAGCAUCUUGGAUC
rnacentral:lncRNA from 1 species